UAAGGGCGCACGGUGGAUGCCUUGGCACUAGAAGCCGAUGAAGGACGUUACUAACGACGAUAUGCUUUGGGGAGCUGUAAGUAAGCUUUGAUCCAGAGAUUUCCGAAUGGGGAAACCCAGCAUGAGUUAUGUCAUGUUAUCGAUAUGUGAAUACAUAGCAUAUCAGAAGGCACACCCGGAGAACUGAAACAUCUUAGUACCCGGAGGAAGAGAAAGAAAAUUCGAUUCCCUUAGUAGCGGCGAGCGAAACGGGAAGAGCCCAAACCAACAAGCUUGCUUGUUGGGGUUGUAGGACACUCUAUACGGAGUUACAAAGGACGACAUUAGACGAAUCAUCUGGAAAGAUGAAUCAAAGAAGGUAAUAAUCCUGUAGUCGAAAAUGUUGUCUCUCUUGAGUGGAUCCUGAGUACGACGGAGCACGUGAAAUUCCGUCGGAAUCUGGGAGGACCAUCUCCUAAGGCUAAAUACUCUCUAGUGACCGAUAGUGAACCAGUACCGUGAGGGAAAGGUGAAAAGCACCCCGGAAGGGGAGUGAAAUAGAACCUGAAACCGUGUGCUUACAAGUAGUCAGAGCCCGUUAAUGGGUGAUGGCGUGCCUUUUGUAGAAUGAACCGGCGAGUUACGAUUUGAUGCAAGGUUAAGCAGUAAAUGUGGAGCCGUAGCGAAAGCGAGUCUGAAUAGGGCGUUUAGUAUUUGGUCGUAGACCCGAAACCAGGUGAUCUACCCUUGGUCAGGUUGAAGUUCAGGUAACACUGAAUGGAGGACCGAACCGACUUACGUUGAAAAGUGAGCGGAUGAACUGAGGGUAGCGGAGAAAUUCCAAUCGAACCUGGAGAUAGCUGGUUCUCUCCGAAAUAGCUUUAGGGCUAGCCUCAAGUGAUGAUUAUUGGAGGUAGAGCACUGUUUGGACGAGGGGCCCCUCUCGGGUUACCGAAUUCAGACAAACUCCGAAUGCCAAUUAAUUUAACUUGGGAGUCAGAACAUGGGUGAUAAGGUCCGUGUUCGAAAGGGAAACAGCCCAGACCACCAGCUAAGGUCCCAAAAUAUAUGUUAAGUGGAAAAGGAUGUGGCGUUGCCCAGACAACUAGGAUGUUGGCUUAGAAGCAGCCAUCAUUUAAAGAGUGCGUAAUAGCUCACUAGUCGAGUGACACUGCGCCGAAAAUGUACCGGGGCUAAACAUAUUACCGAAGCUGUGGAUUGUC
rnacentral:rRNA from 1 species